CGUCUAUAUACGUAUAGCAUAUCAAUAAGCGGAGGAAAAGAAACUAACAAGGAUUCCCUUAGUAACGGCGAGUGAAGCGGGAAGAGCUCAAAUUUGAAAUCUUCAAGGUUCUACCUUGACGAAUUGUAGUUUAAAGAAGUGUUUUCUGUUAGAGGAGUAGCAAAAGUUCUUUGGAAUAGGACAUCAUAGAGGGUGAGAAUCCCGUAUUUGGUUAUUCUUUCUAGCUUUGUGAUACACUUUCAAAGAGUCGGAUUGUUUGGGAAUGCAGUCCAAAAUGGGUGGUAAAUUUCAUCUAAAGCUAAAUAUUGGCGAGAGACCGAUAGCGAACAAGUACCGUGAGGGAAAGAUGAAAAGAACUUUGAAAAGAGAGUUAAACAGUACGUGAAAUUGUCAAAAGGGAAGCGUUUGACACCAGUGUUGUUUUUCCGAAAAUCAAUUAAGAGGGACUUGAUUUUGUGUUGUAUUGACCUUAUCAGCUUUCUUCACUCUUUUUCGAGUCUUUCUUAAUGCACUUUUCGGUUAACAAGUCAACAUCAAUUUCUUUUGUUGUAAAAGGGUAUUUGGAAGGUGGCUUUCUUUUCGGAGAAAGUGUUUAUAGCCUUAUACCUCUACAAUCGGAGAGAUUGAGGUCUGCAGCGUAGAUCCUUCGGGGCUAGAUACACUUGUGCUAAGUUAUAGCUUUUCAUAGACAACUUGUUGACUAUGUUUAGUCAUGUAGCUUACCCGCUUGUGCUAUUUUACCUACGCUUAGGAUGUUGAGUCAUCACACAUCUCU
rnacentral:rRNA from 1 species